rnacentral:tRNA from 1 species
AAUGCAGAGCCUGAAUUAAAGGAUUACCGUGAUAGGGUAAAACAUGCGAAGCAUAUCGCCUGCAUUA